rnacentral:rRNA from 1 species
CAACAGGGAUUAGCCUAGUAACGGCGAGUGAAGCGGCAACAGCUCAAAUUUGAAAGCUAGCCUUCGGGUUCGCAUUGUAAUUUGUAGAGGAUGCUUUGGGUAAAACGCCAGUCUAAUUUCCUUGGAACAAGACGUCAUAAAGGGUGAGAAUCCCGUAUGUGACUGGAAAUGUUAACCUAUGUAAAGCUCCUUCAACCAAUCGAGUUGUUUGGGAAUGCAGCUCUAAAUGGGAGGUAAAUUUCUUCUAAAGCUAAAUAUUGGCGAGAGACCGAUAGCGCACAAGUAGAGUGAUCGAAAGAUGAAAAGCACUUUGGAAAGAGAGUUAUAAAGCACGUGAAAUUGUUGAAAGGGAAGCGCUUGCAAUCAGACUUGUUUAAACUGUUCGGCCGGUCUUCUGACCGGUUUACUCAGUU